AAGCCACUUUGGGGGAGCUGAAUAUCAGCUGAGAAAGACGAUCGUCUUGACCCUUAGUCACCUGAUCCAGUUAACACUGGCGGAGGGAAGAAGUGUCCGGAUUGAU
rnacentral:ncRNA from 2 species